CAGGCAAUGAUGAUUUUCACUUACAUAGAGUACUAAUUUGAUUAAGGAAAAAUCAUGUUCAUUCAUAAUUUUCAUUUUAAAAGUGUAUUCAUUCCUUCUGCAAAUCCAUACUGUCAUGCCUAUUCCCCAAUAUCGUCAACGCGGAUAGUUCGUUAGUCGAAAAUACUGAAUAAUUAAACAAACCAAAUGGCAUCACUGGUGGUUCUUUUUUCCACUCCGCUAAACUGUCAUCUCAAACAAAAACAAAUGGAUCAUACAACUGCUAUGAAUACAUUCGACUCGUUUGCUUCCAUCAAUCGCAGCCAACAACAUCCGUUUUCCUGCAGCAGUAACCUCCAACCCCUGUUGGCAAUGCCGGCGGACAGCAUCAACAGCAGCAGCAGCAGAAUUUGACCAUGGUAUGGUAUUGCGAAGAACUUUCCCCAUUUACCCAUUCCGUGCUUCGCGCACAUUCAAAAAUCCUCUUCAGACACGAAAACUCAACGACAAGGAGGUAUUUAUCAACUUGCUCAGCUGAAUUACCACCCCGGAGGAACCCGAAUGCACUGAUUCCGUAGUAUAGUAGAAUGAAAAUAGGCGAGGUAAGCGAACGCAAUCGCAUGAAAUUUUAAUGUUCGCAUUUUUAUCCGGAUCAUACAACUGCUAUGAAUACAUCCGACUCAAUCAAUCGGCGAGUGAGAAAGAUGAUUUCCCUCAUCACCACAUUGUUUAUUUCCUCUUCUGUCACACCAGCCAACAGCAUCAGCUUUCCCGCAGCAGUAUCCUUUAAGGUGCUAUCCAGGGUGCUAUUCCGGGGAACAGCAUCAACAGCAACAGCAGCAGAACCUGGCCAUCGAUAGUAUUUCGAGCAAUUUUCCCCAUCGGAGAUCCCGUGCUUCACGCACAUUGAAGAAUCCUCAGCCACAUAUCUGUGUCAUCAAGGGCAAGGAGGUAUUCAUCAAUGUACUCAGUCGGAUUUGAAUCGUCAAUCCAGACAACCCGGGUGCACCGAUUCCAUUAUAUACAUUAUUAUUUUUAUUAUA